rnacentral:rRNA from 1 species
GACGAACGCUGGCGGCGUGCUUAACACAUGCAAGUCGAACGGAAAGGCCUUUUCGGAGGUACUCGAGUGGCGAACGGGUGAGUAACACGUGGGUGAUCUGCCCUGCACUCUGGGAUAAGCCUGGGAAACUGGGUCUAAUACCGGAUAGGACCGCACUUUAGUGUGUGUGGUGGAAAGUUUUUUCGGUGUAGGAUGAGCCCGCGGCCUAUCAGCUUGUUGGUGGGGUAAUGGCCUACCAAGGCGGCGACGGGUAGCCGGACUGAGAGGUUGGUCGGCCACAUUGGGACUGAGAUACGGCCCAGACUCCGACGGGAGGCAGCAGGGGGGAAUAUUGCACAAUGGGCGCAAGCCUGAUGCAGCGACGCCGCGUGGGGGAGGACGGCCUUCGGGUUGUAAACUCCUUUCGCCAGGGACGAAGCGUUUUGUGACGGUACCUGGAGAAGAAGCACCGGCUAACUACGUG